GCCAGCUGAAAGCAGUGCGUUAAAACAGUAGCCAAAAAGAACGCAUGAGCAAUGAGGUGACAUGUUGAGACUUGACCAAAACAGUAAUGUCUCUGCUUCCUGCUUACCUUCAUCCCUGUUCUGGGAAAGAAGACUGCCAUUUUGAUUGAUGCUGUAAAGAGGUGGUAUUCAAUUAAUAAUAAGGCUGACACUAUGAAUAUCGAGGUAGCAUGUGGAUCAGAGAAAGAGGUCAUGAAGAAAUCUAUGAAAAAUGCCAGAGAAAAUGGUGCACAGUGUGAGAAGUAAAUCCACUGUUGAUUCCAUGGCUACAAUUCAACAAUUAAGUUCAAAACCAACAAGAAAAGUUCCAUCGUCCAAAAUGGCAGCUGUCAUCGAUCAGGAGGUAUAUAAGCUUGAAGUCCAACAACACUGGGCUCAAAAGCAGCUACGUCCCUUCAGCCAUUUGAUUAUUGAACCAACUUGCACAAUCCAAAUCACUACAACUUAGCAACACAAUGAACACUUUGAACACUUUACACUAAAAUUGACCUACUGGUUUUAAGAUUUCCAUUGUGUUCCUUUUUGUACAAAUUAUGUGUAAUUUACAGUAUAUUUCAAUGUUUAUCGCUCGAUGGUAAUGUGAUGUUGCUGCAAGACUUCCAUUGCACCUCUGCAUACAUACACUUGACAAUAAACGUGACUUUUGGCUGUCUUUGUCUGUAGAAGUCUGAGGUUUCGGAGGUGCUUUUUAAGCAGUUUUCCUGAAUAAACACUGUGCAACCUUUGGAGAGAAAUGGGAAAACAAAUGGAAAAUUGCAGAUUUUAACUGUUUCUUUUUUCACAGUUUCCGCCCUGCCUGCUGAGUGUAUCCAGCAUUUUUGGAUUUUAGUUUAGAUUUGCAGCAUCUGCAGAUUUUUUUCUUCGUAGAUUUGGCCUAUGUGGAAAUUGCACACUGUAGUUGCAAUGUCCUGGUUUUGGAGAAAGGUUAUAUCUUGUCAAGUUUCUUUCUUUGUUAACUAUCAAUUUAAGUAUCAAUGGAAACAAUAACUGAAUCUGUCUGGCUUAGAUUGAUGGGAUGGGUAUCAAAUUCAAAAUACACAAAAAUUGUUAUUAUUAACUAGGUACACAAUACGUGCCCAUUAUGCGUGUGCUAGG